rnacentral:rRNA from 7 species
GACAUGACUCUCGGCAAUGGAUAUCUCGGCUCUUGCAUCGAUGAAGAGCGCAGCAAAAUGCGAUACGUGAUGCGAAUUGCAGAAUCCCGCGAACCAUCGAGUUUUUGAACGCAAGUUGCGCCCGAGGCCAACCGGUCAAGGGCACGUUUUCCUGGGUGUCAAGC